UACGUAGGGUGCAAGCGUUGUCCGGAAUUAUUGGGCGUAAAGAGCUCGUAGGCGGUUUGUCGCGUCUGGUGUGAAAAUCCAGGGCUUAAACCCUGGACCUGCAUCGGGUACGGGCAGACUAGGAGUGCGGUAGGGGAGAUCGGAAUUCCUGGUGUAGCGGUGAAAUGCGCAGAUAUCAGGAGGAACACCGGUGGCGAAGGCGGGUCUCUGGGCCGAUACUGACGCUGGAGGAGCGAAAGCGUGGGGAGCGAACAGG
rnacentral:rRNA from 1 species